CGCGGCUCCACCCCCUGCGCGAGCCGGGUCGGCAGGCCCUACAGCCUGCCGGACAUUAGGGUACGAGGCCGUCCAUUCUCCGCGCAGCCCACGCCAAGCCGCUGCUUAUCCGGAGCCGGAGCUCUCUCUUCUCUUCUAGAGACUGGUCAACUCUGCGGCGGCGGGGCGCACAGGGGAGGAGCUUCCUCUCUCCAACCUGGCCCUCCCAGGCGCUGCCAGCCACCCGAGCCCGCCUUUCGGAGCUCCUCCCUCCCCAGACUUCUCAGGCGACGUCAGCGGCGGAUGCCGAGGCGGGGAUGAGGGCCACUGGCCCGCGAUCCUGCCAGCAAGGCUCCGGCCUCGGCCUCAGGCCCGAGAUCUCCGCCUUGUGGCGACCAGACGACGUGUGCCACACCGGCGGGGCUCGGGCGGGGGCUUCGAAGUAGGGAAGUGAGCCAGGGGCGCUCAAUUUGUCUUCUCUCCCCCCAACCCACAAGGUUGGAAAGGUUUUCUUUUGGGGAAAUUGCCUCUCCGCAGCUUCACACCCAGCCAGCGGACCCUCCCACCCAGGAGGAAUGUCCUCUGGUCCCAUCGGCGCGUCUUCCGGGAGUCGCCAAACACCAGACAGAGGUAGCGGGGUGGGUGUGGCAGCUGCCAUUUCCUGACUCCGCGCCUGCGCGGAAAGCCCUUUGAGGACGUGCGGUGGUGACUUACUAGGGCUCCGCACUUCUCAGCCCGGUGAGUCAGGUAGGGGUGUAGAUUCACUUGCGUACCUGGACUCCAAUCUAACCUCACUUCCAACUACUUCAGUCGUGUGGGGGUGGUUGAUAAGCCCUGUCAGAGCUUAAUCCUGUCUAAACGUUCAGAUGUUUAGUUCCUGUUGAGUGCUUCUCUACUAGGGACGUAUUCUUCUCUCUCUCUUUUUUUUUUUCCUCUCCUGACGUCCAUAAUUACAGACAGAGAUUGAAAAGUAACCUUGAGAGAGUCCCUCCCUUGAUUCCAGGGCAAGUUACUAGAGGAUGUGCUCCAACAAAACGUGAGAGCAAGACAAGAAAGAGAAAGACAUGGGAUCCAGAAAAAAGGACCAGGAGAAUGUGACGGGAAAUUCCAGGGUGAAAGAUAUGUGGCAGAAUUAGAGAGCAGUCGUUUUCACCAGAGAAGGAAGAUGGCAGACUCCAAGAAGAAAGACUGCAAAGUGAAUCAGCUUUAUGUAUACAUAUAAUGUCCAUGGACAGAGGAAUGGAUAAAGAAGAUGUGGUAUAUAUAUACAAUGGAAUAUUAUCCAGCCAUAAAAAGGAAUGAAAUUGGGUCAUUUGUAGAGACGUGGAUGGAGCCAGAGACUGUCAUAAAGAGUGAAGAAGGAGUACUGGCCUGAUGAGGGAAGGGGAAUGGAUGGUACAGCGAGAGCCUGGGUAUAUUAUUCCAGUGAAAGAACUCCUCCUGGAAGAAAAUACCUGGAAUGAGGGGAUGGUGCAGCAGUGCCUCCCGUUUCUCGUCCUACACCUGGUCACUACCAUGUCCUGUACCGCGGGUGUGGAGAAACGCAGUUGGGCUGGCACGGGGAGACAUACUGCCUGGUUGGUGGCUACCGGUUCUACGGGGAUGUUCCUUUGGCCACGCCAGCUAAGGUAGAAGCAGAGAAGCCAGUCCCCAGACGUGCUCCGAAGAGAAAGCACUCUCUGGAAUGGUCGGACGAAGACCUGGGUUGCCCCAGACCCAAAAUCCGGCGAUUGGAGCUUUCAAGCAGCACAGGAAUACAAGAUGCUCCUUUGGCCACGCCAGCCAAGGUGGAAGCAGAGAAGCCAGUCCCCAGACGUGCUCCGAAGAGAAAGCACUCUCCGGAAAUGCCGGACGAAGACCUGGGUUGCUCCAGACCCAAAAUCCGGCAAUUGUAGCAUGGUGCCAGGAGGCGGACCCCACAGAAUCUUGCAGGGGCCCCUUUGUGAGCUGAAGAAAGAAAAGUCUAGAAAAAACGGAUAGCUGCGAGGGGAAGAUGGCGGAAGAGUAAGACGCGGAGAUCACCUUCCUCCCCACAGAUACACCAGAAAUACAUCUACACGUGGAACAACUCCUACAGAACACCUACUGAACGCUGGCAGAAGACCUCAGACCUCCCAAAAGGCAAGAAACUCCCCACAUACCUGGGUAGGGCAAAAGAAAAAAAGAGAAAACAGAGACAAAAGAAUAGGGACGGGACCUGCACCAGUGGGAGGGAGCUGUGAAGGAGGAAAUGUUUCCACACACUAGGAAUACCAUUCCCUGGCGGGGACUGCGGGGUAGCUCUGGAACCUCAGAGGAGAGAGCAGCAACAGAGGUGCAGAGGCAGAGCGGAGAGAUUCCCACACAGAGGAUCGGUGCAGACCAGCACUCACCAGCCUGAGAUGCUUGUCUGCUCACUCGCCGGGGCGGGUGGGGGCUGAGUGCUGAGGCUUGGUCUUCAGAGGUCAGAACCCAGGGAGAGGACUGGGGUUGACUGCAUGAGGACAGCCGGGGGGCGGCUAGUGCGCCAGAGCUAGUUGGCAGAGAGUCUGGGAAAAAGCUGGGCCUGCCAGAGAGGCAAGAGACCUUUGUUGCGGGGUGCUUGAGGAGCGGCCUGCCAUAGGAGCUUCCUGCUUCACACACUCACAGACAGCAGGGCAACACCUACAUGAGCACAAGCACAAGCCGUGGCUGUUAUAUCUGAUCCCAGAGGCUGCCGUCCACCGCUGCUACCAAGAGUCCUGUGUGCAAGGCAGGUCACUGCCCACACCUUCCCAGCAGCCUGUGGAGCCCACCACUGCCGAGGGUGCUGCGAUUGGGGCCAACUUCCCCAGGAGAACGCACAGCACGGCUCAGGCUCUUGCAGCUUCAUGCUGGCCUCUGCCACAGCAGGCACUCCCUGCACAUCCUGAUUGUGAUUGCCACAUCCCUCCCUCUCCCCAGCCUGAGUGAGCAAGUGAACCCUAAUCAGCUGCUGCUUUCGCACCCUUUUUCCUGUGCAGCGAACAGAUGUCUGAGGGCGGCCCACUCCCAGAGGUGGGGCCAAAACCAAAGCUAAACCCCAGGGGCUGUGCAACCAAAGAAGAGAAAGGGAAAUCUCCCCGUGCAGCUGCAGAAGCAGUGGAUUAAAUCCCUGCAAUCGGCUUGGCAAACCCUGCGUCUGUAGAAUACCUGAAUAGACAACAAGUUUUCCCACAAUUGAGGCUGUGGGCUUUGGGGACAAGUACAUGUGGGAGUAAGGUCAGAUCAGUCUGAUCUUGCCCCACAGUGCCCACAGUAGGUCCAGAGACCUACCUAGAAGUACUGGAGGACUUCCUGUGGAGGCAGUGAUUGGCUGUGGCUCACUAUGUGGGCAAGGACACUGACAGCUAAGGCCACAGGAAAAUAUCACUACUUUUUUUGUUGUUCAGUUGUUCUUUUUUUAUUAUUCUUUUAAUUUUUUACUUUUUUAUGCUUUUAUUUUUAAUAUAUUUCUAUUCUAUUUUUUUCC